CUUCAGUAACUGCAUCGUUUGCAUGACAAUACAUUGUGGCGCCCUGGAAACGUCCCUCUGCCAGCACAUACCUUGGCAACAGGAGCGGUUCAGCAGUGUUCACUGCACAAAUGGGAUGUCUGUGAAUGUCCGUUUCUUGCUCCCAAAGGAUUUCUAGACUUACUUGUAGUUUGAUAAAUGAAGGCUUCCCUCCUUCUUCACCUUGUAUGCUUUUGGGAUAAAUGUUCCUUCUGGUCAGCCAUCUAUAACCCUCGUAACGAUCAGUGUUGCUGACUAGCACAAGUUCUUUCCUGCCACCUCCAGAUUACUGAAGACACUAACCAGCAUGGAUUUAGUAACUGGAGGUGCAUCACUAUAAAAACGUAAUGUUAAUGGCAUAGCAGUAUGUUUGGGGUACAGCACUAAAUGGUGAUGUUGUCCUGCAGGACUUGGUCUCUGGAAUAGUAGCACUGGCAGAUAGUACAUGGAGGCUUGCUCAGGACUUAGGGCAAAAGGAGGUGAAGUGUGUUCUGUUACAUCAACCUUCCAGCUUGAGAUACAGUGUGACAAGUAAUUAUGUUGGCUGUGCCUGCGGCAAGAGGUGUACCUACAUUAAAAGAUCACCCGAGUUUUCUAGUGAGUGCUGGUUUUACAGGCUAAUAUUUUAUUCCCUUUGAGGCUGUUCACUCAAGACCCCUUUUCAGGUCAGAAUUCUCCUUCUUCAGAGCCAGGAAGGGGCUUUCAAGUUUAGUGCGGCUGUCAGGGAUCAAUCUCUUUUACAGUUCCUUCAAGUUCUUUAUGAUGCAGAUGAAUAAUUUCUGUAGAUCCUGAGCCCUGUGUUACGCCAGAGCGGGAGGAGAGUGGCUGCUGUCUUGAACUGUAGAAGCUGUUGACUGACUGGGUGAAAUAACCAGUGACAGCCAUUAAAAAUUGAUCAAGUUAAACGAACUUGGGAAGGAUCCAAAUCUCAGAGGAUCAGUUUGGAUGGUGAAGGCGUUGAGAUUUGCAGGAUAGGGGGUGGAAACCUGUCUGUCUGUAUAAUAUAAGCUGUUGGACGCUGAGGCGCACUAAAAGCUAGUUCCUCAGCUCUUGACAGUCUUGGCAAAAGAACCAUAAUAACUUUUCAGAAACUGCUGGUAGAGUAAUUCCUAUCUUCUGCACUGAGUAUUCAUUUACAGCUCAAACUCACAGUACAAGUAAGUCCUUAAAUAUCACUUGUAGAAUCAGGUCCAAAUUCUGUUUUGUUCUAGCUUUCUCACAUUCAGCCAUGCUGUAUUUGGAAAGCAAUACAAGAAUGUUUAAAAAUAGUAUUUUGGUAGUUCAGGUCAAGCA
ensembl:lncRNA